UAACAAGGAUUCCCCUAGUAACUGCGAGUGAAGCGGGAAGAGCUCAAAUUUAAAAUCUGGCGGUCUUCUGGCCGUCCGAGUUGUAGUCUGGAGAAGUGUUAUCCGCGUCGGACCGUGUACAAGUCUCCUGGAAUGGAGCGUCAUAGAGGGUGAGAAUCCCGUCCAUGACACGGACCGCCGAUGCUAUGUGAGGCACUCUCAAAGAGUCGAGUUGUUUGGGAAUGCAGCUCAAAAUGGGUGGUAAAUUCCAUCUAAAGCUAAAUAUUGGCGAGAGACCGAUAGCGAACAAGUACCGUGAGGGAAAGAUGAAAAGCACUUUGGAAAGAGAGUUAAACAGUACGUGAAAUUGUUGAAAGGGAAACGCUUGAAGUCAGUCGCGUGCCGUGGAACUCAGCCUUGCUUCGGCCUGGUGUACUUUCUGCGGGACGGGUCAACAUCAGUUUUGGCCGGUGGAAAAAGGCAGAGGGAAUGUAGCGCUGUUUCGGCGGCGUGUUAUAGCCCAUUGUCGAAUACGCUGGCUGGGACUGAGGACCGCAGCACGCCCUUGUGGCCGGGGGUUCGCCCCACGUAACGUGCUUAGGAUGUUGGCAUAAUGGCUUUAAGCGACCCGUCUUGAAACACGGACCAAGGAGUCUAACAUGUCUGCGAGUGUUCGGGUGGAAAACCCUUGCCGGUAAUGAAAGUGAAAGUUGGGAACCUCCGCAAGGGGGUGCACCGACGCCCGGCCCUGAAGUUUUCUGACGGUGCUGCGGUAGAGCAAGUAUGUUGGGACCCGAAAGAUGGUGAACUAUGCCUGAAUAGGGCGAAGCCAGAGGAAACUCUGGUGGAGGCUCGUAGCGAUUCUGACGUGCAAAUCGAUCGUCGAAUUUGGG
rnacentral:rRNA from 1 species